rnacentral:rRNA from 1 species
AAAUAAAAUUUUAUUGUAAUUAAUUAUUUUUAUAACAUAAUUUUAAAAAAAAUAUUUUUAAAUAUAUGAGUUAUGUAAUUUUAAAUGAAAUAAUAAUAAUAAUGAUAGUAUAUUAGUAUUGUAAAAGAAAAAUUAGAAUUAUGUAAAAGUAAAUUUAAUUAAUUGUAUCUUGUGUAUCAGAGUUAAUUUAAUAAAAAAUAUAAAAAAUAUUUUUCUCGAAUUUAAAAGGGUAAAAUUAUUAUUUAAUUUAAUGUAAUAUAAUUAUUUAAAAUAAUAAUUUAGUAAUGAAAUGUUAUUCGUUUUUAAAGUUAUCUAGUUUUUUUAGAAAUAAAUUUAAUUUAUUAUAUUUAAAUAUUUAUUUUAAUUAAUUAAAUAUAAAUAUUUUAAAUAUGAAAUAUUUUUAGGGAUAAGCUUAAAAAUAAAUUAUUAUAAAUUAAUUAUUUUUAUUAUAAAUUUAUAGGGUUAUAAAUAUUCAUUAAUAUAAAAGUGUUAUAAUUUAUUUAUAAGUAAAAUAAAAUUUUAUAAAUUUUAAGUUUUUUAUAAAAAUAAUAUUUAAAAUUAUAAAAAAUAUGAAAUAAUGAUUAAAUUAGUAUAAUAUAAUUUAUUAAUAAAAUUAAAUUGUUAGGUUUAUUUAAGGAAUUCGGCAAAUAUAAUAUUCACCUGUUUAACAAAAACAUGUCUUUUUGAAAAUAAUAUAAAGUCUAAUCUGCCCAUUGAGAAUUUAAAAGGCCGCAGUAAUUUGACUGUGCAAAGGUAGCAUAAUCAAUAGUUUUUUAAUUGAAAGCUGGAAUGAAUGAUUGAAUGAAAUAUUAACUGUCUUAAUAAAAUUGUUAUAGAAUUUAAUUUUUAUGUUAAAAAGCGUAAAUAUAAUUAAAGGACGAGAAGACCCUUUAAAGUUUUAUAUAGAUAUAUAAAUUAAUAUUAAGAAUAUAAAUAAAUUUAUUUAUAUUAAUAUAUUUUAUUGGGGUGAUAGGAAAAUUUAUAAAACUUUUUUUUUAAAAAAAACAUGAAUAAUUGAAUAAUUGAUCCAUAAAUUAUGAUUAAAAGAUUAAGUUACUUAAGGGAUAACAGCGUAAUUAUUCUUGAGAGAACAUAUCGACAGAAUAGAUUGCGACCUCGAUGUUGGAUUAAGAUUAUUUUAAAAUGCAGAAGUUUUAAAAUUUGGUCUGUUCGACCAUUUAUUCUUACAUGAUCUGAGUUCAAACCGGUUUAAGCCAGGUUGGUUUCUAUCCUUAAUUUUUUAAAAUUAAUUAGUACGAAAGGACCAUUAAUUUAUAAUAAUUAUUUAAAUUUGAAUAAAAUU